UACGGAGGGGGCUAGCGUUGUUCGGAAUUACUGGGCGUAAAGCGCACGUAGGCGGCUUUGUAAGUUAGAGGUGAAAGCCCAGGGCUUAACCCUGGAAUUGCCUUUAAGACUGCAUCGCUAGAAUUGUGGAGAGGUGAGUGGAAUUCCGAGUGUAGAGGUGAAAUUCGUAGAUAUUCGGAAGAACACCAGUGGCGAAGGCGACUCACUGGACACAUAUUGACGCUGAGGUGCGAAAGCGUGGGGAGCAAACAGG
rnacentral:rRNA from 1 species